CACAUGCAAGUCGAACGGACUCUUCGGAGUUAGUGGCGGACGGGUGAGUAACGCGUGAGAAUCUGCCUUCAGGUCGGGGACAACAGUUGGAAACGACUGCUAAUACCCGAUGUGCAGCAAUGUGAAAGAUUUAUUGCCUGAAGAUGAGCUCGCGUCUGAUUAGCUAGUAGGUGUGGUAAUGGCGCACCUAGGCGACGAUCAGUAACUGGUCUGAGAGGAUGACCAGUCACACUGGGACUGAGACACGGCCCAGACUCCUACGGGAGGCAGCAGUGGGGAAUUUUCCGCAAUGGGCGAAAGCCUGACGGAGCAAUACCGCGUGAGGGACGACGGCUUUUGGGUUGUAAACCUCUUUUCCCUGGGAAGAAGAUCUGACGGUACCAGGGGAAUCAGCAUCGGCUAACUUCGUGCCAGCAGCCGCGGUAAUACGAGGGAUGCAAGCGUUAUCCGGAAUUAUUGGGCGUAAAGCGUCCGCAGGUGGCUCUGUAAGUCUGUCGUUAAAGAAUGGAGCUUAACUCCAUACAGGCGAUGGAAACUACAAGGCUAGAGUUUGGUAGGGGUCACGGGAAUUCUUAGUGUAGCGGUGAAAUGCGUAGAUAUUAAGAAGAACACCAGCGGCGAAAGCGCGUGACUGGGCCAGUACUGACACUCAUGGACGAAAGCUAGGGGAGCGAAAGGGAUUAGAUACCCCUGUAGUCCUAGCCGUAAACGAUGAUAACUAGGUGUUGCUCG
rnacentral:rRNA from 1 species